CAACCCCUCCAGGUCGCUCCCAUCCUCUACCUCCACUUGGAGAGGUGAGGGGACUAAGAGAAAGUCAAGUCCCAGGCUGCUCUGGGGCUCACCAGCGGCCCUGACCUCCCCAUUCCCCAGAUGGUGCAACCGAGGGGAUGGUGGGGAGGCUGGACCGCAGUCUGUGGACUCAAGGCUUGGCCCUUCCCCCAGCUGUGACUAGGAGAUGACUGGAAGAAAAGACCUGGGUGCACUCAGCUCUCCCCGUGCCUGACCCUCCGCCUCAGUUCCUCAGUGCCUAGGAUGGGUGCCAGCACCAGGCCUAUCACUCACUGGCCCUGGGGACCCACCAGCCUGGUUUACCAGACAAGCCAGUCCCCAAGUCACAGCCGAGUCCACAGAGUGAAGGAGGGAAGACAGAUGGAGGAGGUGCCAUUUUAACCAGAGUCUGUGGCAGUUGAGGAAAGAGAGAAAGAGAGGGUGUCACUAACUUUUCUGGGAUUGACCUGCAACUGGGAUCUUCCUCCUUCUACUUCCUGAGUAACUGGGA